CAAUCCAUUCAUGGAUAAAUUGGUAGAUAGCUGAAUGGCUUAUCAUUGGAAUGGGACCAGUGGCCUUAUAAGAAGAGAGACCUGAGCUAGCACACACAGCCCCCUCACAUGGGCCACCUCAGUACUCUGCAGGGUCCCCACCAGCAGGAAAGCCUUCACCAGAUAUGGCCCUUUGACUCUGACUUCUCAGCCUCCAUAACCACCUUCUGAUUGGCAUGGUCCAUUAUUACAACUGUUUACUACAGGUAGUCAAACAGUGAACAUGAUUCCUUCAGAGAAAGGACCCAAGCUGCCUACAAGCUCCAGUUUGGCAUCCCCU